rnacentral:ncRNA from 1 species
GAUCAAGCGACUAAGUGCAUAUGGUGGAUGCCUUGGCGAUCACAGGCGAUGAAGGACGUAGUAGCCUGCGAAAAGCUACGGGGAGCUGGCAAACAAGCUUUGAUCCGUAGAUAUCCGAAUGGGGAAACCCACUCCCUCUGGGAGUAUCCCUGGCUGAAUACAUAGGCCAGUGGAAGCGAACCGGGUGAACUGAAACAUCUCAGUAGCUCGAGGAAAAGAAAUCAACCGAGAUUCCGAAAGUAGUGGCGAGCGAAAUCGGAAGAGCCUUUACGUUUUAGCAUGCAAGAUAAUCGAAGGGGAUGGAAAGCCCCGCCGUAGCAGGUGAUAGCCCUGUAGAUGAAAUCUUGUGUGUGGAACUAAGCGUAAGAGAAGUAGGGCGGGACACGUGAAAUCCUGUUUGAAGAUGGGGGGACCAUCCUCCAAGGCUAAAUACUCCUGACUGACCGAUAGUGAACCAGUACCGUGAGGGAAAGGCGAAAAGAACCCCGGAAGGGGAGUGAAAUAGAUCCUGAAACCGUAUGCAUACAAACAGUAGGAGCGGACUUGUUCCGUGACUGCGUACCUUUUGUAUAAUGGGUCAGCGACUUACAUUCAGUGGCAAGCUUAACCGAAUAGGGAAGGCGUAGCGAAAGCGAGUCCGAAUAGGGCGUUCAGUCGCUGGGUGUAGACCCGAAACCAGAUGAUCUAUCCAUGGCCAGGUUGAAGGCACGGUAACACGUGCUGGAGGACCGAACCCACUAAUGUUGAAAAAUUAGGGGAUGAGCUGUGGAUAGGGGUGAAAGGCUAAACAAAUCUGGAAAUAGCUGGUUCUCUCCGAAAACUAUUUAGGUAGUGCCUCGCAUAUUACUGCAGGGGGUAGAGCACUGUUAUAGCUAGGGGGUCAUGGCGACUUACCAAACUAUGGCAAACUCCGAAUACCUGCAAGUACAGUGCGGGAGACAGAGCACCGGGUGCUAACGUCCGGACUCAAGAGGGAAACAACCCAGACCGCCAGCUAAGGUCCCAAAUUAUCGCUAAGUGGGAAACGAAGUGGGAAGGCAUAGACAGUCAGGAGGUUGGCUUAGAAGCAGCCAUCCUUUAAAGAAAGCGUAAUAGCUCACUGAUCGAGUCGUCCUGCGCGGAAGAUGUAACGGGGCUAAGCGA